AACGAACGCUGGCGGCAGGCUUAACACAUGCAAGUCGAGCGAACUAGCCCAUUGAAGCCUUCGGGUGGAUUUGGAAUCUCUAGUUAGCGGCAAACGGGUGAGUAACACGUGGGAAUCUACCUUUUAGUAUGGAAUAGCCCUGGGAAACUGGGAUUAAUACCGUAUACGCCCUUCGGGGGAAAGAUUUAUCGCUAAAAGAUGAGCCCGCGCGAGAUUAGCUAGUUGGUAAGGUAAUGGCUUACCAAGGCUACGAUCUUUAGCUGGUCUGAGAGGAUGAUCAGCCACACUGGGACUGAGACACGGCCCAGACUCCUACGGGAGGCAGCAGUGGGGAAUAUUGGACAAUGGAGGCAACUCUGAUCCAGCCAUGCCGCGUGAGUGAUGAAGGCCCUAGGGUUGUAAAGCACUUUCAACGGUGAAGAUGAUGACGGUAGCCGUAGAAGAAGCCCCGGCUAACUUCG
rnacentral:rRNA from 1 species